AAAGUCCAGUUAUAUGGAAGGAGAAGCUAGAUCCACCAUAUAGCGAGUCUUGUGCUGCUGAAGGUAACGACAGUAGUAAAGCGUAGACAGUGAAACAUUCGAGCUGAAACCAAAUGGUGAAUGUGAUAGCCCUGAAAGUGAGAUGUAGUGGAAGCCGAUAUGUUACACAACAUAGUAAGACUCAUUAUAAGUUGACAUUCCUACCAUGCUUGUUAGAUAU
rfam:Orientia tsutsugamushi Boryong complete genome